rnacentral:rRNA from 1 species
GAUGAACGCUGGCGGCGUGCCUAAUACAUGCAAGUCGAGCGAACAGACGAGAGUGCUUGCACUCUCUGACGUUAGCGGCGGACGGGUGAGUAACACGUGGGUAACCUACCUAUAAGACUGGGAUAACUUCGGGAAACCGGAGCUAAUACCGGAUAAUAUUUAGCUUCGCAUGAAGCAAUAGUGAAAGACGGUUCUGCUGUCACUUAUAGAUGGACCCGCGGUGUAUUAGCUAGUUGGUGAGGUAACGGCUCACCAAGGCAACGAUACAUAGCCGACCUGAGAGGGUGAUAGGCCACACUGGGACUGAGACACGGCCCAGACUCCUACGGGAGGCAGCAGUAGGGAAUCUUCCGCAAAGGACGAAAGUCUGACGGAGCAAUGCCGCGUGAGUGAAGAAGGUUUUCGGAUCGUAAAACUCUGUUGUAAGGGAAGAACAAGUACGUUAGUAACUGAACGUACCUUGACGGUACCUUACCAGAAAGCCACGGCUAACUACGUG